rnacentral:tRNA from 6 species
GCGAGCGUGGCGGAAUGGUAGACGCGCUGUCUUCAGGUGGCAGUGAGCGAAUGCUCGUGAGGGUUCAACUCCCUCCGCUCGCACGA